rnacentral:rRNA from 2 species
GUGGACGCCAGUCUGCAUGGAGCCGACCUUGAAAUACCACCCUUUAAUGUUUGAUGUUCUAACGUGGACCCGUGAUCCGGGUUGCGGACAGUGUCUGGUGGGUAGUUUGACUGGGGCGGUCUCCUCCUAAAGAGUAACGGAGGAGCACGAAGGUUGGCUAAUCCUGGUCGGACAUCAGGAGGUUAGUGCAAUGGCAUAAGCCAGCUUGACUGCGAGCGUGACGGCGCGAGCAGGUGCGAAAGCAGGUCAUAGUGAUCCGGUGGUUCUGAAUGGAAGGGCCAUCGCUCAACGGAUAAAAGGUACUCCGGGGAUAACAGGCUGAUACCGCCCAAGAGUUCAUAUCGACGGCGGUGUUUGGCACCUCGAUGUCGGCUCAUCACAUCCUGGGGCUGAAGUAGGUCCCAAGGGUAUGGCUGUUCGCCAUUUAAAGUGGUACGCGAGCUGGGUUUAGAACGUCGUGAGACAGUUCGGUCCCUAUCUGCCGUGGGCGCUGGAGAACUGAGGGGGGCUGCUCCUAGUACGAGAGGACCGGAGUGGACGCAUCACUGGUGUUCGGGUUGUCAUGCCAAUGGCACUGCCCGGUAGCUAAAUGCGGAAGAGAUAAGUGCUGAAAGCAUCUAAGCACGAAACUUGCCCCGAGAUGAGUUCUCCCUGAGACUUUAGGUCUCCUGAAGGAACGUUGAAGACGACGACGUUGAUAGGCCGGGUGUGUAAGCGCAGCGAUGCGUUGAGCUAACCGGUACUAAUGAACCGUGAGGCUUAACCUUACA